CUCGAUCUAGCCAGGAAGGACCCCAAGAGGGAACGGGACAACCCCGGCUGCCCCUGCAACUGUACGCGGCGAGCCAUCGGCCACUUGCCAUUGGGAUUCCGGUCCCGAGAAGGCGGCCGACCGGCGCUGACCCGCAAGCCAGGAGACCUGCCCGUCGCCGUCGUCUUUC
rnacentral:ncRNA from 2 species